rnacentral:rRNA from 1 species
AUUGAACGCUGGCGGUAUGCUUAACACAUGCAAGUCGAACGGUAGCAGGCCUUCGGGCGCUGACGAGUGGCGGACGGGUGAGUAACGCGUAGGAAUCUGCCUCAUAGUGGGGGACAACGUGGGGAAACUCACGCUAAUACCGCAUACGCCCUACGGGGGAAAGCGGGGGCUCUUCGGACCUCGCGCUAUGAGAUGAGCCUGCGUUAGAUUAGCUAGUAGGUAGGGUAAAAGCCUACCAAGGCGACGAUCUAUAGCUGGUCUGAGAGGACGAUCGGCCACACUGGGACUGAGACACGGCCCAGACUCCUACGGGAGGCAGCAGUGGGGAAUAGUGGACAAUGGGCGCAAGCCUGAUCCAGCAAUACCGCGUGUGGGAAGAAGGCCCUAGGGUUGUAAAGCACUUUCAAUUGGGAGGAAAACCUGCCGGUCAAUACCCGGCAGCUUGACAUUACCUUUAGAAGAAGCACCGGCUAACUCCGUGCCAGCAGCCGCCGUAAAAC